UUUCCCAUACAAACUGUCUGUACUCUGGAGUAGAUAGUGGCUGGAGAUUUCUGCUUAUGUUUUGCCAGCCCUUUUGGUGUCUGAAUUUCUCUGCCUGGGGGCCUUGGCUGCUCAAAUGGAACAAAUGCACAGAAGUCACUGUUUGAUGCAACUUUUACGUUGACCGGUUCCUUUUUUCUCCGGACUGCUAGAAACAUAGCAACCUGUCAAUGUCACCCCCUGGGGGGAGCAUUUCUUCCAGCCCUUUCCCACCUAACAGUGCUGUGCUGCCCCCGCUGUGGCAGAAAUGCAUGUGCCGCUGGAAGGGGGGUGCCAGCCAUUGCAAAAUACCUGCUAUUUUUCUGUUGCCGUGUCAGGGACUUUGCAAAUAUUCUGUCACUGAUUUUCAAAUAGGCUCUCAACACUGUCCGGCUAGCCCACUCCUCUGCUGGGGCAUCAGUCCUUCUCUCAUGGUAUCAUCAAUGUUUGAGUGAAGGGCUCAGCUGAGCUGGAGACAGAGCCCUGUGUCAGAGGAGCUGAUAAAAGCAAGAAGCCCAACCUUUAAUCACUUGCUGCAUCAUAUAAGCAACAAGAUGCUUCUGCCCAUUUCCCCCCACCCAAGGAACCGUGCACUGGUCUGGGGUUAGAGCACUAUUUGAACUGGAGAGUUCGGGAUACAAGACAGCAUGCCCUGAGUCCUUCGGCUCUGAGGUCCUCUGAAAUCCGGAGCCAUGGAUAACUGAUUGUGUUCAAGUUCAAGUGCUCCCAUAGAAACAAAACUGGGGAAUGGAGUGAGCCUGUCUGUGAGCAGGCCAUCAGUGACGGGCUGAAACUGCACACAGGACGCUGCUCAGGGCUGAGGCGGACCACUUAGUCACCGAGGGUUUGCAGAGAGCUUCCUGAGUUCGUCACGCUGAUAUCACUAGCACUGCUUCUCUGCACUGCUUCCUGGAGGCACCCCCAUGUUGUAAUCGCCACAAAAACUUGCUCAGGUUUAAAACGGAAGCUAUCUGAGUGUGAUCUUGCCCUUGUUUAAAUAAAACAAACAC